AGGACGAACGCUGGCGGCGUGCCUAACACAUGCAAGUCGAGCGAUGAAGCUCUUCGGAAGUGGAUUAGCGGCGGACGGGUGAGUAACACGUGGGUAACCUGCCUCAUAGAGGGGAAUAGCCUUCCGAAAGGAAGAUUAAUACCGCAUAAGAUUGUAAUAUCGCAUGAUAUAGCAAUUAAAGGAGUAAUCCGCUAUGAGAUGGACCCGCGUCGCAUUAGCUAGUUGGUGAGGUAACGGCUCACCAAGGCGACGAUGCGUAGCCGACCUGAGAGGGUGAUCGGCCACAUUGGGACUGAGACACGGCCCAGACUCCUACGGGAGGCAGCAGUGGGGAAUAUUGCACAAUGGGGGAAACCCUGAUGCAGCCAACGCCGCGUGAGUGAUGACGGUCUUCGGAUUGUAAAGCUCUGUCUUCAGGGACGAUAAUGACGGUACCUGAGGAGGAAGCCACGGCUAACUACGUGCCAGCAGCGGC
rnacentral:rRNA from 1 species